UGCCCAUUGGCCCAGUGGUUAAGGCGUCUGACUGUUAGCAAACAGAAAAUCAGAAGAUCCCUGGUUCGACCCCAGGAUGGGCAG
rnacentral:tRNA from 1 species